UGGUCCAGAAGGUUCUACCAGGUCCCCAGAGCUGUGGGAAUGGUUCAGAAGGUUCCACCAGGUCCCAGGACUAUGGAAUGGUCCAGAAGGUUCCAUGAGGUCCCCAGGACUGUGGAAUGGUCCAGAAGGUUCCACCAGGCCCUGAGAGCUGUGGGAAUGGUCCAGAAGGUUCCGUGAGGUCCCC